rnacentral:rRNA from 1 species
CCAGACUCCUACGGGAGGCAGCAGUGGGGAAUAUUGGGCAAUGGGCGCAAGCCUGACCCAGCAACGCCGCGUGAAGGAAGAAGGCCCUCGGGUUGUAAACUUCUUUUGUCAGGGACGAAGAAAGUGACGGUACCUGACGAAUAAGCCACGGCUAACUACGUGCCAGCAGCCGCGGUAAUACGUAGGUGGCAAGCGUUAUCCGGAUUUACUGGGUGUAAAGGGCGUGUAGGCGGGACUGCAAGUCAGAUGUGAAAUUCCAGGGCUCAACCCUGGACCUGCAUUUGAAACUGUUGGUCUUGAGUAUCGGAGAGGCAGGCGGAAUUCCUAGUGUAGCGGUGAAAUGCGUAGAUAUUAGGAGGAACACCAGUGGCGAAGGCGGCCUGCUGGACUGUGACUGACGUUGAGGCCCGAAGGCGUGGGGAGCAAACAGGAUUAGAUACCCGCGUA